rnacentral:lncRNA from 1 species
UGGGGGACUACUGAGAAGAAAUAAUUGUAUUUUGAAAUGGCUGCAUGCCUUCUGCCUGUACAGAACAACAUACGUACCUAGAAACAACAGCAUGAAAUGUGUUAGAAGAAUGGAAGAACGUAGACAGCUACUGACAACUCUAAAACAUGAGCACUAGCACAAUUCUUUAUCAUGACCCAUGACAAAAAGGUGGUUCUAUGCGACCAAAUGUAAACCUAAUCUUGAAAACUCUUACUGUCUCAGCAGGUACUGCCCUACGUCCUACUGUAGAAGAUGAGGAAAACAGCCAGGCAUGGUGAUGCAUGCCUGUAGUCCCAGCUACUCGGGAGGCUGAGGUAGGAGGACUGCUUGAAUCUGGGAGAUAGAGGUUGCAGUGAGUCAAGACUGUGCCACUGUACUACAGCCUGGAUGAUGGAGUGAAACUAUGUCUAAAAAAAAAAAAAAAAAAGUUACUGUAUAGAAGAUGAGGAAAACAUCAAGUCUUGGCUAAUUAACUGCCCUUGCCUCUGUCUCUACCACACCCAUUAUCUUCAGACACCUUAAAAACUACCAGGCUUUAGAGAUGGCAAAUAAUAGGGCUUCCUAUUCCUUCUUCAUCUUGGAAAUCAUCUAAAAACGAGGAGUACAAGCAACAGAAAAAUAUAACAAAACAAUGGAAAGCACAUGGAAGAGUAAUGUGGCAGAUUAAAGAUGGUUGCAAAUUACCUGACACUUCCUUCCCAUUAAUGGUGGGGUUUAUUUCCUUUGACCUUGAAUCUGAGCUGGCCUCUGCCUUGACCAAUCGAGAACAGUGAAAGUGAUGGUAUGCCAGUUCAGGGUCUAGACUUUAAGAGGACUGGCAGCUUCUACUUUGGUCUCUUGGAGCCCUGUGCCCCCAUGUAAGAAGUCCAACUACCCUGAUGGACAGAUCCUAAAAAGAGGUCUCAUCAGGUGGAUCACGAGGUCAGGAGCUCGAGACCAUCCUAGCUAACAAGGUAAAACCUCAACUCUACAAAAAAUACAAAAAAAUUAGCCGGACGUGGUGGUGGGCACCUGUAGUCCCAGCUACUCAGGAGGCUGAGGCCGGAGAACGGCGUGAACCCGGGAGGCGGAGCUUCCAGUGAGCCGAGAUCGUGCCACUGCACUCCAGCCUGGGCG